rnacentral:lncRNA from 1 species
GGACAAGGAGAACAGGUUCCCAACCCAGACAGGAGAAACAGAAAAGCUACCUGGAGAGGCCAUUGACAAUGCAGAAGAACCCAGAUUUCAAGAGAAACAGAGCUAGAUUCAGACAACACCUCCACCACCACUUACUGUCUGCAUCAGUCAGGGCAUGAGAACUGACACUCACAGCAUUCACACAGCAUGCCAAGUGGCAAAUCUGGAACACAAACAUCGCUCUUUAUGACUCCAGAGUUAUCAUCCUGCUGCUGUGAGUAUGAAAUGGCAUAAGACAUGUACAGGGUAGGGCUCAUAGUAGCUACGGAAAAGAACCAACACUAAGAACCUGUCUACUGUGUGCCAUACCCUAGAUGUGUUUUCCUUUCCAAGGCUGUCAUUUUGCUUGUGCAUGCAAGGCUUUUGUGGAUGUGACAGUUCUAGUAGAGGAUCACAGGGACAUGUGCACCUCUGACUAAGAUUGUCCUCCUCCACCAUGAACACAACUUUCAGAGGAUGUAAGUAGAAUGGUAAGUGAGGAAGGAGGCAACCACUCAUUAGAGAAAUAUUUUCCAUAUCAGUCCUUGAAAUGGGGCCAGGCACAGUGGCUCACAACUGUAAUCCCAGCAUUUAGGAGGCCGAGGAAGGAGGAUUGCUUGAGGCCAGGAGUUUGAGAUCAGCCUGGCAACAUAGGGAGACUCUGUCUCUAUUAAAAAAAACCUUAAAACAAUUAGCUGGGCAUGAUGGUGCAUGCCUGUGGUCCUAGCUACUCAGGAGGCUGAUGCAGGAGGAUCACUUGAGCCUAGGUGUUCAAGGCUGCAGUGAGCUAUGAUGGCACUACUAAACUCCAGUCUGAGUGACAGAGUGAGACCCUCUCUAAAAAAACAAACAAACAAAAAAACUUUGAAAUGAAUGGAGCAAAAGAUAUCUCAGACAGACCCCAUACUCUUCCUAAAGGGAUUUAGGUAUGCCCCAUUUCAGCAUGAACGUACGUCUAGAAAAUACAAAAGGAGGAAGAAUGUUCUGUCCAGUGUUUUAUUUGUGCAAAUGACGGGAUUUCUAAAGCUUUUCAACAACACAACAGUUGGCUGUAUUCAAAAUCAGCCGAUAGUAAGCAGGUACCUUGUCCUCUAAAGGUUUCUAGAAGGCUACAUGGUCUGUAUUUGGUCAUCCUGAUUUAAUUCCCUAUUUUUCUGAUAGAGAAGGAAUGUCGCUCUCUGUAGAAAUAUGUGUCCUAAAAGUCCCUUGGCUACUCUGAUUGAAAAAAGAAACAUGUUUGCAGGACUAAGCUAAGAUGUUGAGAUAAGAAUGAACACAGUGGUCACAACAGAUAAACAGGAGGAGGAAAGGAGCUGAUGAAAAUGGGAAUGCUUUCUUUUUUUUUUCUGUCUUUACAGUUGCCUUGCAGAGGCGCUAAACCCCAUAACUAUGUUUAUAUUCUGAUGAUGUAAGACAUUGCUUCCAAAGAGAUAGCAGUUUCCAUAGAGCUGAAUCUAUGGGAGCACAUAUUAAUCUCUUUUUUAUUUUAGGAGGAAGAGAAUCACAUCACAGAAAAGUCGUGAAAUGAUUGAAAUGUUCUUUUCUGUUCCCCCAAAGCAUCAUUAAAUGUAUGUUUCAAUCUCCUAAUAUAAUCUGAUUAACAUAUAUGCUUGACAUGAUUCAUUAGAAUAAUGACAAUGGGAAUUUCCAAGGAACACUUAUUCUGUGCCAGGGACAGUGCUAGCCACUCGACAUGAAUUAUUUCACUUAAUCUUCUCAGUAAUUUAGUUGAGAAAAUUGAGACUCUGAUUUUAAGUGAUUUUUCUAAGGCCGUGUACAUAAUGCAUAGGUUUGAAUUCCAUGUGUCUUUGACUGCAGAAUCCAUGCUAGGCCACACCUCCUAGCUCUAAAACAGCAAUAAUAUAUCAUAAGAAAGGGACCAGGAGAUGAAAGGGGGCAGGAAUUGGCAUCUGCCCAGUACUUGGUCUAUAUCAGGUACAUUACAUGUUUUCGCAUGCCCAACUUUACAUAAUUAAUAAGUAGGUGAGCUAAGAUUUAACACCAAAUGGAUCUGCUUUCAUAGUUCACUCAUGUUCCCUCAAGUGGACUUUCUGCCUGAUUACUUUAGGUGAGUUUAAAAAAAUUAAAAUAGGUAUUAAAGUUAAAUUUAGGGACCACCUAAUCCUGAAGCUAACCAAAAACAGUAUUGGGAAUUAAACUUAAGACACUGAUAUCCUGAUUAUCUAUUGCUGCAUAACAAGUUACCCCAAAGUGUGGUGGCUUUAAUAUAAUAAUUUAUUAUUGUUAUUAUAAUCAUAAUUCUGUGGAUGAAAAACUCAGGUGGAACACAGUGCAACAGCAUGCUUCUUUUCUUCUCUUUCGCUGUUAUUUAUUUAUUUAAGUUUUAACUGACACGUAGUAACUAUACAUAUUUAUGUGGUAAAGUGUGAUGUUUCAAUAAAGGCAUGCAUUGUGCAAUGAUCAAAUCGGGGUAUUUAACAUAGUCAUCACCACAUACAUUUAUCUUUUCUUUGUGAUGAGAACAUUUCAAAAUCCUCUCUUCUAACUAUUUUGAAAUAUACAAGACAAUAUUAUCAACCAUAGUCUCCCUACUGUGCAAUACAACACCAGAACUUAUUCCUUCUGUCUAACUGUAACUUUGUACCCACUGACCAACAUCUCUGCAUGCCUCAGGAUGUCUUGCUUCUGCUCAGCAAUGUCUGGAGUCUCAGAUGGGAAGACUUGAAUGGUUGGGGGCUGAAACAGCUGAAGGCUGGAUGGGUAUCUCUCUCUUACUCUGCCUUUAUCUCUCUCUCUCUCUCACUGUCUCUCUCUCUCCAAAAUAGCAAGCUUAGGCUUCCUCACAAUAUGGCAAUCUCAGGUUAGUUGGACAUCUUAAACCGCAGCAGAGCUUCAGAGUGUUCCAAGUAUUUCAAGAAAAGGAAGUGACAUCUACCAGUCUCUUAAGGCCUGGACCAAGAAACGGAU